GCACUUUAAUCUGCUACUGCUAAUCUACUCUCAGAUUAUCUGAAUGAAACCGAAAAAUGUAGCGAAGACAUUAUUAGACUCAAAACUGUGCGUGUGUGUGUGUGUGUGUGCGUGUGUGUGUGUGUGUGUGUGUGUGUGUGUGUGUGUGUGCGUGCGUGUGUGCGUGUGUGUGUGUGUGUGUGCGUGUGUGUGCGUGUGUGUGUUUCUCAGAAGAAGCCUCUCCCGGGGUUACUGUCUCUCCGAACACCCCGACCCCGUGUGUAUCAGAGUGGAGUGUUAGCUGGAAGCUGGUGUUGGGUGUGUGUGCUGUGUGUGUUCUCCUCUCCUCACUCCUCUCCUCCAUCUGUGUGUACUGCCUCUGCACAAACACCACUAAAGGAGAAAUCAAAGCAGGAAGUGCCAAAAGGACGACUCUGAGCCACGACGAGGUUGGAGACGAGGUCUGUUACGCCUCGCUGGACAUCCAGAACCUCCACAAGAAGAAGAAGAGGAAGAUAAAGAGGAGAGUUCAGCACUCCGAUUUCAGCACGUAUUCAGAGCUGAAGUCAUCAGAUAAACACCUGACCUGCUGAAGUUAGGACUAAUCUGGUGUCCAAACUUCACACAACAAAGAGUGUAAAACAGGUGCAGUUUGUUCUCACGCUUUUCUACACACCAGUUUAACCGCAACCAAUGAGCUGCUAGAGAGACAUUUUCCACUGGCGUGGACCAAUCAGAUUACAGAACACACGAGCGCAUGAAAGAUCUUCAGCAGCACGAGCCGCUCAGCACCAGUGUCUGAGAUGGAGACAUCAAGAGUCGCUCUCAUCGCUCUCGUGUGUGUUGUGUUCUCCGGUCAGAAGAGGAUCUCUGGAGCAGAAGUGGAGACGAGAGUCAGACGAGGAGACGACGUCACUCUCUACUCCGACUGUGUUGUGUUCUCCGGUCAGAAGAGGAUCUCUGGAGCAGAAGUGGAGACGAGAGUCAGACGAGGAGACGACGUCACUCUCUACUCCGACUGUGUUGUGAAAAGUGGAUUUUAUCCAGUGUGGUUCAGGAACUGCUCACAUCAGGAUCAACCUCGUCUGAUGAUCUCACAGUCAGAUGUGAUGCAUGAUGUUUUUCCACGUCACUCGUUUGUGUUUAAUGUCUCCACCAACGUACACGAUCUUCAGAUUAAGAAGGUCACAGAAUCAGAUCAGGGCGUGUACUACUGUGCUCUACAUGAGAUAAAGAUUGUAAUAGGAAAAGAUGGGAUUAUAAUGGACAGGGAUGUGUAUCACUAUGGAAACAGAAUGACUCGACUCGCUCUACUCGAAGAAGCUACUGUCUCUCCGAACACCCCGACCCCGUGUGUAUCAGAGUGGAGUGUUAGCUGGAAGCUGGUGUUGGGUGUGUGUGCUGUGUGUGUUCUCCUCUCCUCACUCCUCUCCUCCAUCUGUGUGUACUGCCUCUGCACAAACACCACUAAAGCAAAAGUGAAAGCAGAUCAGGCAGGAAGUGACAAAAGCAUGACUGGGAGACAUGACGAGGAUGGAGAAGACGAGGUCUGUUACGCCUCGCUGGACAUCCAGAACCCCGAGAAGAAGAGGAAGAGGAAGAGGAAGAAGAAAGUUCAGCACUCUGAUUUCAGCACGUAUUCAGAGGUCAGAACCGAGAGACCUGAGAGUCGUGAAGGAGGAGAUCAUGACGUCUGGAAGCCGUAUUAGAUCACAGCGUGUUCUUUUGACAAACUGCUUUUCACAUCCUUCGUGAGGAUUAUAAAGAGUGAAGUCAAUUUUAAAUGCUUGUGCUUCGUGUUUUUAUCGCUGAUGCCUGGUUCGUUGUUUUUUAAAUUCAUUAUAAAUAGCAAAAUUGGCCGAAUUGUUAAAACUAUUUAUAUUAAAAUACCUGAUGUGAAAAAAUAAAUGCACCGUAUUCACUGCUCA
ensembl:lncRNA